AGAGUUUGAUCCUGGCUCAGGGUGAACGCUGGCGAUGUGCCUAAGACAUGCAAGUCGAGCGGGAUUUGUUGUUUACACAAAGUAUUCCCUAUACAGUGGGAAAUUUUGUGUAAAUAAUAAGUUUAGCGGCGAACGGGUGAGUAAUAAGUACAGACAUGCCCCUUUGUAGGACAUAGUCCGCCGAAAGGCGGGGUAAUUUCCUAUAGUAUCUUCGGAUUAAAGACGCAAGUCGCGAAGGGAGUGGUGUACUAGCUACCAGCUAGUUGGUGAGGUAAUGGCUCACCAAGGCUAUGACGGCUACCGGCUCUUAGCGGAGAGUCCGGCACAAUGGGACUGAGACACGGCCCAUACUUCUACGGAAGGCAGCAGUUAGGAAUUUUGCGCAAUGGACGAAAGUCUGACGCAGCGACAUCGCGUGUGGGAUGACGGCCCUCGGGUUGUAAACCACUUUUGGGAGCCAUGAAGGCUCCAGAAUAG
rnacentral:rRNA from 1 species